rnacentral:rRNA from 1 species
UACGGGGGGGGGCAAGCGUUGUUCGGAAUUACUGGGCGUAAAGGGCUCGUAGGUGGCCAACUAAGUCAGACGUGAAAUCCCUCGGCUUAACCGGGGAACUGCGUCUGAUACUGGAUGGCUUGAGUGUAGGAGAGGGAUGCGGAAUUCCAGGUGUAGCGGUGAAAUGCGUAGAUAUCUGGAGGAACACCGGUGGCGAAGGCGGCAUCCUGGACCAUUACUGACACUGAAAAGCGAAAGCCGGGGGAGCAAACGGG